rnacentral:misc_RNA from 1 species
AAUCUUUACUUUUCUGUCUUUUAUCUCUGAAACACAACUCUCUCUCUCUCUCUCUCUUUGUACUCUUAGAAAUGGCUACUAAUCUCCUUGCUUUGGGUCCCGUCGCAAUCAGAGCGUCGGCCGCAUCUGGUCCCCAGAGAUCCGACCCGAACCGUCGGAAAAGCUCGUCCUCCUCAUCAGCCAACUGGUGGACCCCCCUCUUUGGGUGGUCGUCUGAGCCCGACUACAUUGGCUCUGAGAGUAAAGCGGAAGAUAUGCAGUACAAAAAAGAAGGCAGAUGGGAGUCGGAUCUCGAGCCAAAAUCAGCGAGAUCUCGGUUUGCUCCUGGUUGCUUUACUGAGAAGAAAGCGAAACAGCUUCGCAUGUUGACUACUGAUAUGUCAUCGUUUCACGAUGCUAUGUAUCACUCAGCGAUCGCGUCUCGGUUCGCUUCAGACUUCAAGAACCGAUCCGAUCGGUAGUCCUGGGGCAUCCAUGGCUAAUAUCUGGAUCUUGAUGUAUUUCCUAUAUUUGAUUUU